AUUGAACGCUGGCGGCAGGCUUAACACAUGCAAGUCCAGCGAGCGGCGGACGGGUGAGUAAUGUCUGGGAAACUGCCUGAUGGAGGGUGAUAACUACUGGAAACGGUAGCCAAUACCGCAUACCAUCAGCUGUGCCCAGUUGGGUUUAGCUAGUAGGUGGGGUAAUGGCUCACCUAGACGACGAUCCCUACCUGGUCUGAGAGGAUGACCAGCCACACUGGAAGUGAGACGCGGUCCAGACUCGUGCGGGAGGCAGGCGUGGGGAAUAUGGCACAAUGGGCGGAAGCCGGUUGCAGCCAUGCCGCGUGUGUGAAGAAGGCCGUCGGGUUGUAAAGAACUUUCCGGGAGGAGGAGUUACUCGCAGGAGAAGCACCGGCUGACUCCGUGCCAGAAGCCGCGGUAAUUC
rnacentral:rRNA from 1 species